rnacentral:lncRNA from 1 species
GCCGGCCUGAAGUCGCACCCUCCUCCUCCGGAGAAGUAGAGAAAUAAAUUUCUCCCACCCUAAACCAGUCUUUGAGUGAUUGCAGUAUGACUCCAUUUCCCUGGUGCAUUCAUAUAAUAGUUCACCUGGUGAAAACAAUGAAGAUUAUUUACAAUGCUACCCUGCUUUUUCUGGUGUCCUGAACCUGGAAGUUGUGCUUUUUAAGGUCUGCUGGAGUUUUGCUGGAGGUCCACUCCAGACCCUGUUUGCCUGGGUAUCACUAGCGGAGGCUGCAGACCAGCAAAGAUUGCUGCCUGUUCUUUCCUCUGGAACCUUUGUCCCAGAGAGACACCUGCCAGAUGCCAGCCAGAGCUCUUCUGUAUGAGUCUUAUGAUGUAAUCAGCGCGAUUUCACUUCCUGAAUUUCGAUGAAUUCUAAGACAUGGGCAAGAUCGGGUUGUAAGACCUCUGAGAUUUAAGGCCAUGCCCUGGAUCAUGGUGAACUUACCAAAGCAAACAAUGCCUGUGAGAUGGUCCUGCAGCAGCCAACCAGUGAACUCUUUUGGUGACAUCCUGUUCUUGUUGUAUAACUUUAUAUUCCUAUAAAUCCAUUAAGGCCCCAAUAAAGUUUGUCUC